rnacentral:rRNA from 1 species
CGCUGGCGGCGGCUUAAACAUGCAAGUCGAGCGGGCGUAGCAAUACGUCAGCGGCAGACGGGUGAGUAACGCGUGGGAACGUACCUUUUGGUUCGGAACAACCCAGGGAAACUUGGGCUAAUACCGGAUAAGCCCUCACGGGGAAAGAUUUAUCGCCGAAAGAUCGGCCCGCGUCUGAUUAGCUAGUUGGUGAGGUAAUGGCCCACCAAGGCGACGAUCAGUAGCUGGUCUGAGAGGAUGAUCAGCCACAUUGGGACUGAGACACGGCCCAAACUCCUACGGGAGGCAGCAGUGGGGAAUAUUGGACAAUGGGCGCAAGCCUGAUCCAGCCAUGCCGCGUGAGUGAUGAAGGCCCUAGGGUUGUAAAGCUCUUUUGUGCGGGAAGAUAAUGACGGUACCGCAAGAAUAAGCCCCGGCUAACUUCGUGCCAGCAGCCGCGGUAAUACGAAGGGGGCUAGCGUUGCUCGGAAUCACUGGGCGUAAAGGGUGCGUANGCGGGUCUUUAAGUCAGGGGUGAAAUCCUGGAGCUCAACUCCAGAACUGCCUUUGAUACUGAAG